AAUUUAAUUUAAAAAUCUUAAAAAAAAAAAGAAAAGAAAAACAGAACAGCAUGAGGGGUUUCACAGAGCAGUCGAUGGUGUAGGCUGUAAUUUCAAAUACUGAGGUCAACGUAACUUCACAGAGGCCAACUAGGAGCUAAUACAGUAGCUGAGAGAGUUAACCACAAGGACAGCUAGGGGAAGGACUGCCAGUGCAGGCAAAGGCCCAGGGGCAGGAAUGUGCCUGGCAUGUUCCAGGAAGCUACUGCAGCUGAGGCGUAGAAAGGGGAAGGGAGCAGAACAGAAGAAGGAGAGAAAAACAGGCCAGAGCAGGCUGUUUGGCUCUGGCUCUGAGGGAUGUGCAGAGCCACAGAGUCAUUAGCAGACAAGCCACAUGACUAAGAGAUUGAAAAACUACAGUCCAAGAGUAUGUCUGGAACUUUCCCUAAUGAACAGUUAAAAUAAAAGGCUAACUCUAGCAGCUGGGUUGCAAAGAAGUCAUGAGGGAUGGGACAAAGUGGAAGCAAGGAGAUUCAUUCCGGUCUACUCAGUAAUCCAGGUGGACAACGACCAGGCUGGUGGUUCCAGUAGAUGAAGAAUGGAUCCUACGGCCAUCAGGGAGCACCCACCAUGUGCCAACCGCUGCAGCACGGCAGGAUCUUCUCUGCCACAUGGACGGAUGUCACCUCGCCUGGGCAUAUGUUCUCCAAACCCACACCUACCUAGCAGCUCAGAGAGAUGGAGAAGAGCAAGAACACAAACCUUACUCGGCAGCCAGAGGAGCUGGAUAGCCGUGGCACAUGGAGCACUAAGGAGGCAAGCCAACAGGGGUUCUCUCCUGGCCAGGCGGCUGGAAUAAAAACAGGAAAUGCAUUGUUCCAUUUACAGAACUUGUCUACUCUCUGGUAAAGUCUAUACUAUGCAAGUAUUUGUUCUGAGAAUAGUUUGUUGCUGCUGUUUUCUGUCCCCCUGCCCCCCCCCAAAGUCAUUGAGUUUUAUAGAGUCUGGCUCAAUGCAGAGCUCACAGUAACCAACCAGGAGGCAAGAGAGGCUCGGAAAAGAGAAGACCAGGCCAAAAUGUGCAAGAAUCAACUCCUGACGGCCACAGGACAGAGGACCGUGUCCCCUGAAUUUUGUGGGGCAAGUGGCUGUUAGUUACAUCCGGGUUGGACUUUGGUGCAUUAAUCUUGGUCACCCUCCCAUGGUAAGUCUUUCAUGUAUCUCCUCUGUGCUCCCAGGAGCAAGACAAAAUCCCAGCUGAACACCAGAAGUGGGAAUAAGGACAGCUGAGCCAGACUUGUAAAGGAAGAGCCCCAAAGGGCAGCACAGGCGGGGACAAGCCCACAGCAUGUGAAAGCAGUCUGAGUCUCCGAGACAGCCAUGAGCAGGGAAGGACACUUGGGGCUCUGGCUUGGGUCACCACACUUGGCCUGAUAACUUACAAAGACAGCCUCCUCCAGGGAGUUCCUGAGCCAAAGCAAACUGGUCCUAAAUGUGGAAUUUUUAGGCACAAUUUUCUCCAUCAUUGAGCUGUGUUAGCAAAGAACUGCCUCUUAAGACAAAUUUAUGAAAAUCUGGUGCUUUCUUGUGAUGAGCACUGGGUAUUAUAUUGAAAUGUGGAAUCUCUAUAUUGUUGACUUCAAACUAAUUUUGCACUGUAUGUUGACUAACUAGCAUUUGAAUAAAGACUUAAAAAAAAAUAAAGUUACAUCUGGUGCUUUAAAAAA